rfam:Capnocytophaga sp. oral taxon 329 str. F0087 C_spHMPREF9074-1.0_Cont39.1, whole genome shotgun sequence.
GAGGCGAAAUCCUGAAAAGCCUAAAAAGAGUAGGGA